rnacentral:rRNA from 1 species
UACGGAGGGGGCAAGCGUUGUUCGGAAUUACUGGGCGUAAAGGGCGCGCAGGCGGCUGCUCAAGUCAGGCGUGAAAGGCCUGGGCUCAACCCGGGAAUUGCGCUUGAGACUGGGCUGGCUUGAGUGCGGGAGAGGAUGGUGGAAUUCCUGGUGUAGCAGUGAAAUGCGUAGAUAUCAGGAGGAACACCGAUGGCGAAGGCAGGUCUCUGGGCUGACACUGACGCUCAUGCACGAAAGCGUGGGGAGCAAACAGG